GGCUAUGAUCUAUAGCUGGUCUGAGAGGACGAUCAGCCACACUGGAACUGAGAUACGGUCCAGACUCCUACGGGAGGCAGCAGUGGGGAAUAUUGGACAAUGGGCGAAAGCCUGAUCCAGCUAUGCCGCGUGAGUGAAGAAGGCCUUCGGGUUGUAAAGCUCUUUCAAUAGGGAAGAUAAUGACGGUACCUAUAGAAGAAGUCCCGGCAAACUCCGUGCCAGCAGCCGCGGUAAUACGGAGGGGGCAAGCGUUGUUCGGAAUUAUUGGGCGUAAAGGGCACGUAGGUGGACUAGUAAGUUAAAAGUGAAAUACCAAAGCUUAACUUUGGAGCUGCUUUUAAUACUGCUAGACUAGAGGUCGAAAGAGG
rnacentral:rRNA from 1 species